rnacentral:lncRNA from 1 species
CAUUAUGUUACUGCUGAUUUUACUUUACAAUAUUGCCUCUGUUUUCUCCAUUACUAUCCAUAUAGAAUGUAUUAUCUAUUACAUUGCCAGAUGGAAUUCCUUAAACUGUUACCAUUUUAUUAUCAAGUUUAAACUACUGUAUCAAGGCUAAACUUCUUUGUCAAACUCAUGAUUUAGUUUGCUGAUCCAGUAUUAGCUGCCACCAAGAUCUAGUCCAUGUCCUACAUUAGAUUCUUCACAGCCAUCUCCCAUCGCAGCUUGUGCCUUCCUUUUCAUCAUUCUGCUUCUAACAUCUCAAAAAAAAAGAAGUUGAGAAGUGGGACAAGAUCAAGAAAGAAUGAAAAACACAAACUGUCGCUCCCCCUCUUCACGGAGGAACGACGCUGGACCCUGCGCUGUUCUUUUGUCUGCUCGGCCCUCCCCGGGUUUGCUGCUGGUUCUUCCAGGGUUGGCUGCCGAUCCUUCCACCUCUGUGGAAGGGCGGCUCCCCCUGCCACUUUCCCCACUUCCGCCAGGGAGCGGCACACCACCAGCCAGCUCUCUCGGGGGCUGCUCAGAUGUUAUCCGGAUGUUCCCUUUAGAUGUUCCUGGUGCAUGUUGUCUCUCUCCUCCUUUAUAGUCCUCUUCCACCAAUCCCAACUCUGCUACCCACACGCUGAGUACGCUGCUCUCCUCCAAUCAGGAGCAGGAUCAGCUCCUGCAGGUUAUUGGUCGAACUGGAGGCAGCUGUGUAGAAGUUGUUUACUCCUCUCCCAGCGCCAUAUUGUGGGAGAGCAGAUGCAUAGAAUAAGUCUUAAUUCCAGUAACUUAGUCUAGUCCGAGUUGCUCCCCACAACAAACCUAGGUGGAUAGCCAGUAUGGCUGAAUAGGGAAAAGAUGUGCUGAUUUUGACCAGAUAACAGGAGAAAGUGUAGUAACUUCAUUUCCAGAGGAGAGUUGGAGGGAAACUUGCAGUGGGAAUUCUACAGAAAGAAGAGGUGCUGUGGAGCAGAGUGGACAGCACAAACACGCAGCAAGGAACAGGGACACCACUGGAGACUCCCACAGCCAGGGGCUGGAGCAGACCAUCUUCGAGGAGCUGGGUGAGAGAGUCGGUGGCAGCUCAUGUCACUGGUGAUACUGCUGAGGGAGAACCUUGAGAUCACAGUGACUGAGUCUGCCUAGAGUGCUAGUGGGGGCAGGGUGCCCACCUCGCCCUGUGAAGGGAGAGCACACUGCUUUCUUCCCAGCCCCCUUCAAUAGCAUCUGGUACCUAGCAGGGAGAAAGCACCACUUUAAUAAGGGAAGCAGAGGCUAUGGAGGCGUGUGCACACAUGCACGACUAUGGGGUAUUAUCAGAGGGAUAAAUCCGCAGUCCCCCUUCCUCUGAGUUUGGCCUGGAGAAUUGGCAGGUGCCUAUUUAGGCCUGUGAGGUGUCUCCUCUGCUCACUCUAUCAUGGGCACCUGGACUCAACCUGUAAACGUGAAGCAAAGGCAGGUAGCACACUCUGGGAAUGCCUUGGCUCUCUCGGUGGGUGUGGCAUGGUUUGUGGGCCAGAGGGUGGGUCCCCUGCUCCCUGUACCUGUGGGAGCCUUGUGCAUGAUGACUGUGGGAAUUCUGUGACUACACAAUAGGGCGGGAGUAUAGCUGGGUCUCUGGGCAAUCACUGCAUCUGUCUUCAGAGACUCAGAGUUCCCUGUGUGCCUGGGUGGAUCACUGCACAGGGCUGUGCUCACCCUGCAGACCACACAGAUCCUAUGUGUGGUUCUAGCAGCUGGUGUGCAGUCACUGUGGGCUCACUCAGGAUAAUGAUCACCUUGGCAGAGGAGGUGAGGCCAUCAUGCAAGCCAAUGUGAUUAUAACCACACUCUUGCAGACAACAGCGGAGAUCUCCAUGUCCAACAUGGGUGUCAGCCUGUACCUUUGCCCCACACUCAAGCACUGACUGAAUUUCCCUGGCCCCACCCAACACACACCUCUGGGUAUCCACUGAGGGAGCAGACAUUCAACUAAGCCACAGAGCACAGUCCACAGAUAAAAGCCAUCAGAGCAGAAAACAAUGCCUAAACAUAAACAGAAAUAUUAGAAACACGAACAAGGGAAGCAAUAUGACUCCACAAAAGGAACACAACAAUACUCAAAUAUUAGAAUAUGAGGAUGAAGAGGUUGAUGAAAUGCCUGAAAAGGAAUUCAAAAGAAUGAUCAUAGGAUUACUCAGAAGUGAUGAGUAGCAAAUUCAUGAGCUAAAGAAACUCAUACAUGACAUGGAUGAAAAAUUUUGCUGGGAGAUAGAGAUACUAAAGAGAAAUCAAACUGAAAUAUUAGAAAUGUAGAUACAAAAUGUCAAAUAAAAAUAUAGUGGAAAGCCUUAAAACA